CACCUGGGUAGCUCAUUAGGUUAAACAUCUGACUUCUGCUCAGGUCAUGAUCUUGCAGUUCAUGAAUUCAAGCCCCACAAUGAACUCUCUGCUGUUAGUGCAGAGCCCGCUUUGGAUCCUCUGUCCCACUCUCUCUUUCCCCUUCGUCUGCUUGCAUGUGCGCGCGUGCAUUUUCUCUGUCUCUCAAAAAUAAAGAUAAAAUUUUUGUUCUAAUAAUAAAAUUUAAAAAAAAGAAAAGAAGCAAAUAGGGUAGUUACAAGUCUGGAUAUGCCAGUUCUGAAAGUCCUGGUUCUGUAGGAUUCCUCAUGAAGGGGAGUGGGCCUGCACACCAAGGAAGAGGUUGGAUUUCUCCUAGAGACAUGUGCAUGUUAGAGAGAUGCCAUGCACGUGGAAGGCCCAGUGUACACACCAACGUAUAUACCAGAGGAGCCUGUAUCACUGACCUUUGAGAGGCGGCUCAUUCUCUCUUCAUUGUCUUCCAGGACACGCAAACUUGGAGGCACGUACCAGAAGCAGACAUUUGUGUGCUGAGGCUACAAGGAGGAAAGUGUUUUUGUUGCCUUUCAUGUCAUCUCGGCUCUCCACGGUAGUUUCCUUUUCUUUUGGAGCCCUCAUUCUCUAAGCAAUUAUUUUGAUUACUUGAGGGGAAAAUUUGCCUCUGUCAUUCUGAGGGGUAAUUAUGGAAGUCAUUAAUGACAGAGGACUGGGCUAUUCUCUUCCUGCGGAUAAGAAGCAUCAUCAGAGACCCCCCCCCCCCCAGCACGCCUGUUUAGCUCCUGACCAUCAUGAAAAUUUACCAUUUCCAGACUGCACUUCUGUUCACCAAUGUACCCCCAUUAUGGAACAAAUAGGGUAGGUACUCAAUGAAUAUUUGCUGAACAAAUGAAUGUAUUAAUCUUAAAGGGCACACAGAUGCUUUGUUAGCCUGUCAGUCUGCAAGGCUCAUUAGAUUUCUCCUUUGGGGACAAAUGAUUUACAUGCUUGUAACAGGCGAACAUAAUCACAGAGGUCUUUUUAGUUUCCGGCUCUGGAAGCCCAGGAUCUGGACUUGUGAAAAACAACACUACAGCCUUGGACUGGUGCUGUUUACCGACCUCAGGACACUUCAGGGAAUUACUUUUCAAAAUGGCUUUCCUCCUAAUCCUUUCAGCAUUUAUGGAGCACUAAUGGAAAGCUUAGACAAACAGCUAAUGCUCAUCCCAGGAGCACUUAGAACAGGCCAACCAGUGACUAAUCCAACAUGGAAACUGGAGGAAGAAGCUGCAAUGGACAUAAGAUGGGCCCACAUUCCUAUUUAUAGCCUCAUCACCUCAGCUAAAAGGGGGAUACAGCAUGGCCAGUGACUUGAAUGUCUGAAGCAUCAAAGAAAUCUGAUGGGUUCAGAAAUCAUUUCUGUGGAGAUUGCUGCCCUGGUUGAUUGGCCACGAGUUUGACUGGUUCCUGAUGGCUCAAAGGAAGGGCCCCAAAGCUGAAUAUUCAGGCCAGAGCCUACACCAUGCACUAUAUGACUCUGUGGUACCAAGGAUUCGGGGUUGGUUCGGACUGACCUGGCAGUUUGGGUACACUUGGUAGGUACACUUUGGGUACUCCUAGGUAGGAGGAGGGAAGUUAAUUGGUCUCCAUACUGGAUCCUUUGGACCACUCCAGAGUUGGAUUUAAACUUGCAUGUAUCUGAUCCAAGAUAAUAGCCAGGACCACUAGGACUCAUCCUGUCUAGUCACAUGGCCUUGGCUAAUCUUACUGGUCCCAUGGGAAUGAUGGUGCUUGUCUGAUCUCCCAUAUAGGGACAUGGUAAAAGUAAAAUGAAUACUCUGAA